rnacentral:rRNA from 1 species
ACGGAGGGUGCGAGCGUUGUCCGGAAUCACUGGGCGUAAAGGGCGCGUAGGCGGCCUGAUAAGUAGGGGGUGAAAUCCUGCGGCUUAACCGCAGGGCUGCCUUCUAAACUGUCAGGCUCGAGCACAGUAGAGGCAGGUGGAAUUCCCGGUGUAGCGGUGGAAUGCGUAGAGAUCGGGAUGAACAUCAGUGGCGAAGGCGGCUACCUGGCCUGUUCUUGACGCUGAGGCGCGAAAGCUAGGGGAGCAAACGGGA